rnacentral:rRNA from 1 species
ACGCUGGCGGCAGGCCUAACACAUGCAAGUCGAGCGGUAGAGAGAAGCUUGCUUCUCUUGAGAGCGGCGGACGGGUGAGUAAUGCCUAGGAAUCUGCCUGGUAGUGGGGGAUAACGUUCGGAAACGGACGCUAAUACCGCAUACGUCCUACGGGAGAAAGCAGGGGACCUUCGGGCCUUGCGCUAUCAGAUGGGCCUAGGUCGGAUUAGCUAGUUGGUGGGGUAAUGGCUCACCAAGGCGACGAUCCGUAACUGGUCUGAGAGGAUGAUCAGUCACACUGGAACUGAGACACGGUCCAGACUCCUACGGGAGGCAGCAGUGGGGAAUAUUGGACAAUGGGCGAAAGCCUGAUCCAGCCAUGCCGCGUGUGUGAAGAAGGUCUUCGGAUUGUAAAGCACUUUAAGUUGGGAGGAAGGGUUGUAGAUUAAUACUCUGCAAUUUUGACGUUACCGACAGAAUAAGCACCGGCUAACUCUGUGCCAGCAGCCGCGGUAAUACAGAGGGUGCAAGCGUUAAUCGGAAUUACUGGGCGUAAAGCGCGCGUAGGUGGUUUGUUAAGUUGGAUGUGAAAUCCCCGGGCUCAACCUGGGAACUGCAUUCAAACUGACUGACUA